UCAGACACGGUGUAAUGGCAACACGGCCUCUUCUCUUAAUUAUGUGGGGAUUGAUUCAGAGGCAGUCCAGGGUUCGAAUCCCUGUGUCUGAA